GGUGAGGUGACGGAGUGGUUGAACGUGCACGCCUGGAAAGUGUGUAGGGGUUAAUAGCCCCUCGGGGGUUCGAAUCCCCCCCUCACCG
rnacentral:tRNA from 1 species